CCAAUAGCGUAUAUUAAAGUUGUUGCAGUUAAAAAGCUCGUAGUUGAAUUUCGGGAUCAAAUUGUCGGUCGUGCCUCGGUACGCACUGGUAUUAUUGGUUCCUACCUUCUGAAGAACCGCGAUGUCAUUAAUUUGGUGUCGUGGGGAAUCAGGACUGUUACUUUGAAAAAAUUAGAGUGUUUAAAGCAGGCUUACGCUUGAAUACAUUAGCAUGGAAUAAUGAAAUAGGACGUUUGAUUCUAUUUUGUUGGUUUCUAGGAUUGACGUAAUGAUUAAUAGGAAUAGUUGGGGGCAUUAGUAUUCAAUUGUCAGAGGUGAAAUUCUUGGAUUUAUUGGAGACUAACUACUGAGAAAGCAUUUGCCAAGGAUGUUUUCAUUAUUCAAUAACGAAAGUUAGGGGAUCGAAGACGAUCAGAUACCGUCGUAGUCUUAACCAUAAACUAUGCCGACUAGGGAUCGGAUGAUGUUAAUUUUUUAAUGACUCAUUCGGCGCCUUACG
rnacentral:rRNA from 1 species